UAUCUUGUUGAGGAAAUUUUCUCUGCUAA
rnacentral:piRNA from 1 species